rnacentral:rRNA from 1 species
UACGUAGGCAGCGAGCGUUGUUCGGAGUUACUGGGCGUAAAGCGUGCGUAGGCGGUAGUCCAAGUCUGGUGUGAAAUCUCCCGGCUCAACUGGGAGGGUGCGCCGGAAACUGGGCUGCUGGAGUACGGGAGAGGCAAGCGGAAUUCCUGGUGUAGCGGUGAAAUGCGUAGAUAUCAGGAGGAACACCCGUGGUGCAGACGGCUUGCUGGACCGUGACUGACGCUGAGGCACGAAAGCGUGGGUAGCAAACAGG